AUUAGAUACCCUGGUAGUCCACGCAGUAAACGAUGAGCACUAAUUGUCCGGUCCGAAUGAGGACUGGGUGAUACAGCGAAAGCGUUAAGUGCUCCACCUGGGGAGUACGCCGGCAACGGUGAAACUCAAAGGAAUUGACGGGGGCCCGCACAAGCGGAGGAACAUGUGGUUUAAUUCGAUGAUACGCGAGGAACCUUACCCGGGCUCAAACGCGGCGUGAAUACUUUUGAAAGGAGGUAGUCAGCAAUGACACGCCGCGAGGUGCUGCAUGGUUGUCGUCAGCUCGUGCCGUGAGGUGUCGGCUUAAGUGCCAUAACGAGCGCAACCCCUACCGUCAGUUGCCAACAGGUAAGGCUGGGGACUCUGACGGGACUGCCGGCGCAAGCUGCGAGGAAGGCGGGGAUGACGUCAAAUCAGCACGGCCCUUACGUCCGGGGCGACACACGUGUUACAAUGGCAGGUACAGCGGGAAGCCACCUGGCGACAGGGAGCGGAACCCGAAAGCCUGUCUCAGUUCGGAUUGGAGUCUGCAACCCGACUCCAUGAAGCUGGAUUCGCUAGUAAUCGCGCAUCAGCCACGGCGCGGUGAAUACGUUCCCGGGCCUUGUACACACCGCCCGUCAAGCCAUGGAAGCCGGGGGUGCCUGAAGUGCGCUGCCGCAAGGAGCGCCCUAGGGUAAAACCGGUGACUGGGGCUAAGUCGUAACAAGGUAACAAGGGCG
rnacentral:rRNA from 1 species